GAAGACAAAAACUGAAGAAGCCACGGAGGACUGGUGAUUGCACUUAAGAAACAGCCUGAAACUAUCUGAGGCCUAAAGGAAGAUGCUGACAGAGUUACCAGUGGUUACAGACCCGGACUUCCUGUGAGGCGCCGCUGGUGGUCUGGCGCCCUCUGCUGGUGAAGUUGCCUGGCUUUCUCGUUGCUUGGUUUCCUCAGGAUUUUAUCUCCAUCUUCCUGGCGCAACAUCUUUCAGCAGAAUGUGCCAUUCUUAUACGAAGGUAAGAAGCCAUUCUGCUGGGCACCUUAUUUGAAGAAACACUCAAAGAGAAUCAAAGAAAGCAGGACUUGGCAUUUCUUCAACAGUAUACCCCUGUGUGUGAAUGCUCCCCUUUUCCUGCCAUCCGCCGAGGGGGCACUUUCAAGUACUCAGUUCCCAAUGUGGCCCUGGCCCCCCUCAGCUCUGGCACUCUUUAAAUUCCUUUGUCAAGAGAGUGAAUAUUCUUCUCCAGAACACACCAGGGGAGGCAGCCAAGAGGAAGAGAAGUCUGGGAGCCCUGGAAGAAGUUAGGCAGAAGCGCCUCAUCCUCAGGGAGCCAAGAUGGAGACGACCCAUGACUCGACCCUAAAAAGGCGGGUCAGCUUCUGCAGAGUGGUAGGGAGCACGGGCUCCUGGUGGAAAGAGGCAGGUCUUCAUGGACUGGGACCAAGUCCAACAGAUCAGCUGAGACGACAAGGCAGUGUUGGAAUCCAUGGCAAAUGACAAUAAUAAAGAAACAACGCUUGGCUUUUUUGGUCCUCUCUUCAGCAUUAUAGAAG
rnacentral:lncRNA from 1 species